GACGAACGCUGGCGGCGUGCUUAACACAUGCAAGUCGAACGGAAAGGCCCUGCUUUUGUGGGGUGCUCGAGUGGCGAACGGGUGAGUAACACGUGAGUAACCUGCCCUUGACUUUGGGAUAACUUCAGGAAACUGGGGCUAAUACCGGAUAGGAGCUCCUGCUGCAUGGUGGGGGUUGGAAAGUUUCGGCGGUUGGGGAUGGGCUCGCGGCUUAUCAGCUUGUUGGUGGGGUAGUGGCUUACCAAGGCUUUGACGGGUAGCCGGCCUGAGAGGGUGACCGGCGACAUUGGGACUGAGAUACGGCCCAGAAGCCAACGGGAGGCAGCAGUGGGGAGUAUUGCACAAUGAGCGGAAGCCUGAUGCAGCAACGCCGCGUGCGGGAUGACGGCCUUCGAGUUAUAAACCGCUUUCGCCUGUGACGAAGCGUGAGUGACGGUAAUGGGUAAAGAAGCACCGGCUAACUACGUG
rnacentral:rRNA from 1 species